AGUGAUAGUUAGUUUAAUAAAAACAAAUGAUUUCGACUCAUUAGACUGUGGUCAGACCCAUAACUAUCAA
rnacentral:tRNA from 1 species